CCUCGAUCGGUCUGUGAUUCGUCUCCGUGUCUGAACGGAGGCCACUGCUACGAGAGAGAUGGAGGCUACACCUGCGAGUGUAAAGACAGAUACAGAGGGAAGCACUGUGAGAAAGUCAGACUCAGUACCUGUGCCUCUGGCCCGUGUCGUAACGGAGGCUCCUGUAAAGAAGAGACAGGGAGUUCCUGUGUGUCUGUCCAUACAGGUUCACUGGAAAACACUGUGAAGUGGGGAGGCCAGACCCGUGCUCCUCCAGCCUGUCUGAACGGAGGAACAUGUUUCCACUACAUCGGGAAAUACAAGUGUGAAUGUUCCGG